GUAGUUUAUUUUUAUAGGUUCCAGUAACUUGACAGAAAACCGGAAGUGAGUUAACGGCGGAGAGGAAGUAGUUUUUACUGCAGUUAGACGCAUAGACAUGAUUAGACGAAGCAAGCAAGCUAAAUUACCCAUAAAAACAAUUCUCACUCGCAUUCUUAAACUUUGCCCUGCGACGGACUGGCGGCCUGUCCAGGGUGACCCGCCUCCCGCCCGUAACGGUCACUGGAGACGGGCACCUGCUGCCACCAGCACAGGACGAUGGCGAACAGAACAUGGAUGGAUGGAUUCUGAAACAUUUCCCAACAUGGUCCCAUGAAUUAUGGAAAUGGGGAACGGAAACUGAAGGAAGUUGCUGAGCCGAGGUUUUCUGGAUGAACUGGAUGCACAAAAAAUCCAAACAAAUCAUGCUGGGUUUUGGCUUCGGAGUGGCCUCUUUAAUGCUUGCACCGGGGGCGCCAGGAUCUGACAGCGGCGACGCAGACAAAGGCUGGAGCGAAGGCAAACCGCACAAACACAUGGAGAAAGAGAGAAAAGAAAACCUGAGAAACCAGCAACAAACGACAUGGGAAUAAAUAAUAAGCAGUUAUAAAAUCACUGAUCAGUUCACAAGUUAAUGCAAGCUGAAUUUGGAAACAACCUUGUCACCAACAUAGAGUGCAUCUUUAACAAAAUUGACUUUAUUAUCAUAG